GGAAGGAUCAUUAUUGAAUUAGCGAGGGCUGUCUGCUGGCCCCUUCGGGGGCAUGUGCACGUCCGAGCCGUUUAAAUCAACACCUGUGAACUCACCGUAGGCCUUCGGGCUUAUGUAUCAUAUAUAUAUACUCAGAUCAUAGAAUGUACAUUUUGCCUUUAAAAAAGCAAUCAAAUACAACUUUCAACAACGGAUCUCUUGGCUCUCGCAUCGAUGAAGAACGCAGCGAAAUGCGAUAAGUAAUGUGAAUUGCAGAUUUUCAGUGAAUCAUCGAAUCUUUGAACGCACCUUGCGCUCCUUGGUAUUCCGAGGAGCAUGCCUGUUUGAGUGUCAUUAAAUCCUCAACCCCGUCCGUCGGUCGGGGCUUGGACUUUGGAGCGUGCUGGCGAAGGUCGGCUCCUCUUUAAAUGCAUCAGCGGAGAAAAACAAACCUUUUUUCCCCCUUCAGCGUGAUAACUGUGUUGCGCUGUGGUCGCGAAAGGNUCCGCUCAUAAUCNNCCUCGGACAAACACCGAANC
rnacentral:rRNA from 1 species